rnacentral:rRNA from 1 species
UACGGAGGAUCCGAGCGUUAUCCGGAUUUAUUGGGUUUAAAGGGUGCGUAGGCGGCCUGUUAAGUCAGGGGUGAAAGACGGUGGCUCAACCAUCGCAGUGCCCUUGAUACUGAUGGGCUUGAUUACACUUGAGGUAGGCGGAAUGUGACAAGUAGCGGUGAAAUGCAUAGAUAUGUCACAGAACACCAAUUGCGAAGGCAGCUUACUAAGGUGUCAAUGACGCUGAGGCACGAAAGCGUGGGGAUCAAACAGG